AACGAACGCUGGCGGCAGGCCUAACACAUGCAAGUCGAGCGAGGACUUCGGUUCUAGCGGCGGACGGGUGAGUAACGCGUGGGAAUGUGCCCUUCUCUACGGAAUAGCCCUGGGAAACUGGGAGUAAUACCGUAUACGCCCUAUUGGGGAAAGAUUUAUCGGAGAAGGAUCAGCCCGCGUUGGAUUAGGUAGUUGGUGGGGUAAUGGCCUACCAAGCCGACGAUCCAUAGCUGGUUUGAGAGGAUGAUCAGCCACACUGGGACUGAGACACGGCCCAGACUCCUACGGGAGGCAGCAGUGGGGAAUCUUAGAUAAUGGGGGCAACCCUGAUCUAGCCAUGCCGCGUGAGUGAUGAAGGCCUUAGGGUUGUAAAGCUCUUUCAGCUGGGAAGAUAAUGACGGUACCAGCAGAAGAAGCCCCGGCUAACUCCGUG
rnacentral:rRNA from 1 species